CCUACGGGAGGCAGCAGUGGGGAAUAUUGCACAAUGGGGGAAACCCUGAUGCAGCAACGCCGCGUGAGUGAAGCAGUAUUUCUGUAUGUAAAGCUGUAUCAGUAGGGAUGACAAUGACAGUACCUGACUAAGAAUCCCCGGCUAACUACGGGCAAGCAGCAGCGGUAAUACGUAGGGGGCAAGCGUUAUCCGGAUUUACUGGGUGUAAAGGGAGCGUAGACGGGUGCGCAAGUCAGAAGUGAAAGCCCGGGGCUCAACCGCGGGACUGCUUUUGAAACUGUAUAGCUAGAGUGCAGGAGAGGUAGGUGGAAUUCCUAGUGUAGCGGUGAAAUGCGUAGAUAUUAGGAAGAACACCGAUGGCGAAGGCAGCUUACUAGACUGUAACUGACGUUGAGGCUCGAAAGCGUGGGGAGCAAACAGGAUUAGAUACCCUGGUAGUC
rnacentral:rRNA from 1 species